rnacentral:rRNA from 1 species
UCAAGUUGUUUGGGAUUGCAGCUUAAAAUGGGAGGUAAAUUUCUCCUAAGGCUAAAUAACGGCGAGAGACCGAUAGCGAACAAGUACCGUGAGGGAAAGAUGAAAAGAACUUUGAAAAGAGAGUUAAACAGUACGUGAAAUUGUUGAAAGGGAAACGAUUGAAGCCAGUCGUACCUUCGGGUAAUCAGCCUUUCGGGUGCGAUUCUGUGGAGUGUGAGGAGCUUAAACACCUUCAUGUUUUGCAUAUUCGUACUCUUGGGUGUACUUGCCCGUAUGGUUGGUUAACAUCAAUUUUGGUGGUCAUAAAAUGACUGGAGGAAUGUAGCUUCGAUCUCGUAUUGAAGUAUUAUAGCCUUCGGUAGAUGUGAUGAUCGAGAUUGAGGAUUGCAACGGAUACCCUUUGGGGCUACCUGUCUGAUCUCUGAUCGUUGCUCUGGUACCGAAAGCUUGCUUACGGUUAUCAAAGUCGAUGGUCAAUAGGUUAGAACGGGUUAAAUUCGUUAAGGAUGUUGACGUAAUGG